GACGAACGCUGGCGGCGUGCUUAACACAUGCAAGUCGAACGAAGUGGCGAACGGGUGAGUAACGCGUAAUCAACCUGCCCUUCAGAGGGGGUCAACAGUUGGAAACGACUGCUAAUACCGCAUACUGAUGGACGGGUUUGCGUGUGAUUGGCUAGUUGGAGGGGUAACGGCCCACCAAGGCGAUGAUCAGUAGCCGGUCUUAGAGGAUGAACGGCCACAUUGGGACUGAGAAACGGCCCAGACUCCUACGGGAGGCAGCAGUGGGGAAUCUUCCGAAAAGGACGAAAGGCUGACGGAGCAACGCCGGGGGAGUGAUGACGGCCUUCGGGUUGUAAAGCUCUGUUAAUCGGGACGCGGUACCGGAAGAGAAAGCCACGGCUAACUACGUGCCAGCAGCCGCGGUAAUAC
rnacentral:rRNA from 1 species